rnacentral:rRNA from 1 species
GAUGAACGCUAGCUACAGGCUUAACACAUGCAAGUCGAGGGACCGGCGCCCGGGUGAGUAACACGUAUCCAACCUUCCCUUUCCUCGGGGAUAGCCUUUCGAAAGAAAGAUUAAUACCCGAUGUAAAGGAUGGGGAUGCGUUCCAUUAGGUUGUUGGUGAGGUAACGGCUCACCAAUCCUUCGAUGGAUAGGGUUUCUGAGAGGAAGGGCCCCCACAGUGGAACUGAGACAAGGUCCAAACUCCUACGGGAGGCAGCAGUGAGGAAUAGUGGGCAAUGGGCGUUAGCCUGAACCAGCCAAGUAGCGUGAAGGAUGAAGGCUUAUGGGUCGUAAACUUCUUUUAUAUAAGAAUAUGUAUUAUAUGAAGAAGGAUCGGCUAACUCCGUGCCAGCAGCCGCGGUAAUAC